rnacentral:ncRNA from 1 species
AAUGAAACGAUGACAGGGAAAGUACAUUUCUACCUCUUUAUUUAGCGAUCUGGGAUUGGUGCAAGCCUAGAAAAAGUAGAAAUUGAAAAUCACCCAAGAGUUCUUUUGUUGAAAAUCUUUGAUGAGUAAACAGAAGCGGGCCUCCACGAUACGGGGAAAAGAGUGAGCAAUUUAUCGGAUUGCUAAAACGGGUGGUACCGCGGGAAAUAGCCUUCUCGUCCCUUAC